GCCGGGUAUGGUGGCUCACACCUGUAAUCCCAGCAACUCGGGAGGCUGAGGCAAGAGGAUUGGAAGUUCAGAGCCAGCCACAGCAAAAGCAAGGUGCUAAGCAACUCAGUGAGACCCUGUCUCUA
rnacentral:sRNA from 1 species